rnacentral:tRNA from 1 species
GCGCCGGUGGUGUAAUGGCGCGGAGCAUUCCCGCCCGGUCAGAGGGAGGUGCGGGUUCGAGUCCCGUCUGGCGCU